UGGGGAAUUUUGGACAAUGGGCGAAAGCCUGAUCCAGCAAUGCCGCGUGUGUGAAGAAGGCCUUCGGGUUGUAAAGCACUUUUGUCCGGAAAGAAAUCCUUGGCUCUAAUACAGUCGGGGGAUGACGGUACCGGAAGAAUAAGCACCGGCUAACUACGUGCCAGCAGCCGCGGUAAUACGUAGGGUGCAAGCGUUAAUCGGAAUUACUGGGCGUAAAGCGUGCGCAGGCGGUUUGCUAAGACCGAUGUGAAAUCCCCGGGCUCAACCUGGGAACUGCAUUGGUGACUGGCAGGCUAGAGUAUGGCAGAGGGGGGUAGAAUUCCACGUGUAGCAGUGAAAUGCGUAGAGAUGUGGAGGAAUACCGAUGGCGAAGGCAGCCCCCUGGGCCAAUACUGACGCUCAUGCACGAAAGCGUGGGGAGCAAACAGGAUUAGAUACCCUGGUAGUCCACGCCCUAAAACGAUGUCAACUAGUUGUUGGGGAUCCAUUUCCUUAGUAACGUAGCUAACGCGUGAAGUUGACCGCCUGGGGAGUACGGUCGCAAGAUUAAAACUUAAAUGAAUUGACGGGGUCAUAGCUGUUUCCU
rnacentral:rRNA from 1 species